GAAGUGCAGCGGCACAUCCCGAUUCUGAUUCCUGAGCACCAGCACCAGCACCACACGCCAUCCCCCCAUGUCCGGGUGUGAGGCCUGACUCUGUGCGUUGUGAUGAUGACCUGCGUCACUACCACCGCGCCAACUGCCGUCCAGUACUCCUCGUAGACAAACUGGCAGGAAAACCAAUAAAACCGAAACAGGGCCCACUUUAGCUGUCCAUACGUUGGCUUUCAAUCCUUUCACGUGCACAUGCACGU
rnacentral:lncRNA from 1 species